GAGAGGGUAAACCAAUUGCCUGACACCCACAUGGGUUCGCUUUCUAAGGCAAGAGGAUAAACUUUACACUUCGAAUAUCCAGAAGUGGAUGAGUCAGGUUGCCCUAGUAUAACUAGGUGCAUGAUGGAUUGCGCCGAGAUUCCUAGAAGUAGCCACAAUGGUAUUUAUCAAGGCUUAGCUAACAGAAGGAUUUUGGGUCUCUUAGCCUAAUCCGCGAGGAAUCGGGCCCAAAGAUGGAGAGGGCACAUUACGCAAUACGCUCUAUGGACAGUUGCCCUGAAACCCUAAAGUUGCUACCAAGUACACUAAGGUAGCCUACAGUUUCUAGAAGACUGCCUACGACUUGCCCUUUGAGCAGUAAGCCGCUCUAAACUUAAACAACCACACAUUUCUUUGAAUGGUUAAACAAGUUAACGCGCAUAUACAAAGCUUCAUCCAUUGUUGACAUGCUACGCAGUUGAUAAGCUUCAUUUCUGCCAAGGUGCGGAAUAAUCUACACUAAAUCCUAAAGUGUUGUGAUACUUGUUACGCAACCCACAGAAUUGGUUACAUAAAGUAUGUUAUGAUGCAGGCCACACAACUCAAAGGAUUGAAGAAAGUCAAGGUUAACAGCCAAGUGGUCACGCAAAUUCGUCUACUUUUGUAAGUAAGACAUCCGGUUGCCGACCCUGUAGCUAACAACUUUACAAAAGUUCUACACCAACACCUACGAUUGCAUAGGCUACAUGGGCCUAUCCGCUUAUAGAAAAGUGGCACGCCCGCCGUUGGUCUAAAAAGUCUAAGGUUAGGUGAAAACAACAAUUG
rnacentral:lncRNA from 1 species